GUAGGACAUCGCAACCCGUUAGAUAUUGAUUUACGGCCAAAUUGGGUAGCCUUUAAUCGAAUAAUAUCAAUUAAAGACCAAUUUGUGUUUCCUAAUCAAAUAUCUGACGGUAUUCGUAUGGUAUUAAGUCGCAAAUAUAAUAUAUAUAUGCGUUCUUAUCCGUCGCAAGUGAGGCCAGUUUAAUAUUAUCUAGUAGUUACGGACUUAGUACCGUCACUAGACCUGGCCAACUGUUAGCUGUUACGGUAUUCUAGAACUGACUUAAAAUAUAAUUAAUACCGGUUGGCGAUGCUACUGCUUUGGGUACUUUCAGGACCCGUCUUGAAACACGGACCAAGGAGUCUAACAUGUACGCAAGUCAUUGGGAU
rnacentral:rRNA from 1 species